rnacentral:rRNA from 1 species
GAUGAACGCUGGCGGCGUGCUUAACACAUGCAAGUUGAACGAAGUGGCGGAUGGGAGAGUAACACGUGAGGAACCUGCCUUUCACAGGGGAAUAACACUGGGAAACCAGUGCUAAUACCGCAUAGUGAAAGAUGGACUCGCGCCUGAUUAGCUAGUAGGUGAGGUAACGGCUCACCUAGGUGAUGAUCAGUAGCCGGCCCUGAGGUUGACCUGCCGCAUUGGGACUGAGACACGGCCCAGACGCCGACGGGAGGCAGCAGUGGGGAAUAUUAGGCAGUGCCGCAAGCCUGACCCAGCAACGUCGCGUGAAGGAAACCGGUCUGCUGAUUGUAAACUACUUCACCAUCGACGCGGUAGAUAGAGAAGAAGCACCGGCUAACUACGUGCCAGCAGCCGCGGUAAUAC